rnacentral:rRNA from 1 species
GACGAACGCUGGCGGCGUGCCUAAUACAUGCAAGUAGAACGCUGAAGAGAGGAGCUUGCUCUUCUUGAAUGAGUUGCGAACGGGUGAGUAACGCGUAGGUAACCUGCCUUGUAGCGGGGGAUAACUAUUGGAAACGAUAGCUAAUACCGCAUAACAAUGGGUGACACAUGUCAUUUAUUUGAAAGGGGCAAUUGCUCCACUACAAGAUGGACCUGCGUUGUAUUAGCUAGUAGGUGAGGUAACGGCUCACCUAGGCGACGAUACAUAGCCGACCUGAGAGGGUGAUCGGCCACACUGGGACUGAGACACGGCCCAGACUCCUACGGGAGGCAGCAGUAGGGAAUCUUCGGCAAUGGGGGCAACCCUGACCGGGCAACGCCGCGUGAGUGAAGAAGGUCUUCGGAUCGUAAAGCUCUGUUGUAAGUCGAGAACGAGUGUGAGAGUGGAAAGUUCACACUGUGACGGUAGCUUACCAGAAAGGGACGGCUAACUACGUGCCAGCAGCCGCGGUAAUACGUAGGUCCCGAGCGUUGUCCGGAUUUAUUGGGCGUAAAGCGAGCGCAGGCGGUUUGAUAAGUCUGAAGUUAAAGGCUGUGGCUCAACCAUAGUUCGCUUUGGAAACUGUCAAACUUGAGUGCAGAAGGGGAGAGUGGAAUUCCAUGUGUAGCGGUGAAAUGCGUAGAUAUAUGGAGGAACACCGGUGGCGAAAGCGGCUCUCUGGUCUGUAACUGACGCUGAGGCUCGAAAGCGUGGGGAGCGAACAGG